CCUACGGGUGGCAGCAGUAGGGAAUAUUGCUCAAUGGGGGAAACCCUGAUGCAGCAACGCCGCGUGGGUGAUGAAGUUUUUCGUAUUGUAAACUCCUUUUGUCAGGGAAGAUAAUGACGGUAUCUAAGUAAUAAGCACCGGCUAACUCCGUGCCAGCAGCCGCGGUAAUACGUAGGGGGCAAGCGUUAUUCGGAAUCACUGGGCGUAAAGAGCGCGUAGGCGGGAGAGCAAGUCAGAUGUGAAAUCCUAUGGCUUAACCCUCGGACUGCACUUGAAACUGUUCUGCUAGAGUGUGGGAGAGGUAAGUGGAAUUCCUGGUGUAGCGGUGAAAUGCGUAGAGAUAAAGAGGAAUACUAGUUGCGAAGGCGGCGUGCUGGACCGUAACUGACGCUGAGGCGCGAAAGCGUGGGGAGCAAACAGGAUUAGAUACCCGUGUAGUC
rnacentral:rRNA from 1 species